rnacentral:rRNA from 1 species
AGUAGCGGCGAGUGAGCGGCAAAAGCUCAAAUUUGAAAUCUGGCACUUUCAGUGUCCGAGUUGUAAUUUGAAGAAGGUAUCUUUGGGUCUGGCUCUUGUCUAUGUUUCUUGGAACAGAACGUCACAGAGGGUGAGAAUCCCGUGCGAUGAGAUGUCCCAGACCUAUGUAAAGUUCCUUCGAAGAGUCGAGUUGUUUGGGAAUGCAGCUCUAAGUGGGUGGUAAAUUCCAUCUAAAGCUAAAUAUUGGCGAGAGACCGAUAGCGAACAAGUACAGUGAUGGAAAGAUGAAAAGAACUUUGAAAAGAGAGUGAAAAAGUACGUGAAAUUGUUGAAAGGGAAGGGCUUGAGAUCAGACUUGGUAUUUUGUAUGUUACUCUCUCGGGGGUGGCCUCUACAGUUUACCGGGCCAGCAUCAGUUUGAGCGGUAGGAUAAGUGCAAAGAAAUGUGGCACUGCUUCGGUAGUGUGUUAUAGUCUUUGUCGAUACUGCCAGCUUAGACUGAGGACUGCGGCUUCGGCCUAGGAUGUUGGCAUAAUGAUCUUAAGUCGCCCGUCUUGA